rnacentral:rRNA from 1 species
CGCGUAGGCGGACUUUCAAGUCGGAUGUGAAAACUCCGGGCUCAACUCGGAGCCUGCAUCCGAUACUGUUGGUCUUGAGUACAUGAGAGGAAAGCGGAAUUCCAGGUGUAGCGGUGAAAUGCGUAGAUAUCUGGAAGAACACCAGUAGCGAAGGCGGCUUUCUGGCGUGAUACUGACGCUGAAGCGCGAAGGCUAGGGGAGCAAACA